rnacentral:rRNA from 1 species
UACGUAGGGUGCAAGCGUUAUCCGGAAUCAUUGGGCGUAAAGCGUACCGAUGGGUGGUUAAGAAAGUCAGAUGUGAAAUCUCCGAGCUCAACUCGGAAUCUGUCAUUUGAAACUUCUUGACUAGAGGGACAAAGAGGAAGCUAGAACAAACGGUGUAGUAGUAAAAUGCGUUGAUAUCGUUGGAAUACCGAUAGCGAAGGCAGGCUUCUGGGUGUCACCUGACACUGCUAGGACGAAAGCGUGGGGAGCGAAUGGG